rnacentral:rRNA from 1 species
UGGGCAACCUGCCCCUCUCUCUGGGAUAACCCCGGGAAACCGGAGCUAAUACCGGAUACUCCGGCUGGAUCGCAUGGUCCGGCCGGGAAAGGUCCGCCGGAGAGGGAUGGGCCCGCGGCCUAUCAGCUUGUUGGUGGGGUAACGGCCUAUCAAGGCGACGACGGGUAGCCGGCCUGAGAGGGCGACCGGCCACACUGGGACUGAGACACGGCCCAGACUCCUACGGGAGGCA